CACAAACGUCAGUAUUUUUUAUAUACAAAUAUAGUGCGUGCUUCAGCGCGCUGUACACUUUCUAAGAAUCCUACUUCUUUUUGUAAUCGUGUAACCUCGGGCUCCCCAAAAGGCACUUGGAGCUGCUGUUAAAUAACAACAAAGUAAAUAAUAAAUCUAAGUUAGCGAAUACGCGAAUAAAUCUAGUAAAAAUGUGACAAAGACAUUUAUUAAAAUGUUUCAACACAAAGCUGUCUUAGAAUUAAAGAACCUUAAAGAGGCGCUGACUCAAUUUGGUGGCAGGGUGCCAGAAAAACGUGGUUAUUUAUCGCAGCAUCACUUAAAAUGUAAUGCGGUAGUGUCGGUGAGGGUGCUCGUACUAACAAUAAAACAAAUGAUGUGGGUUUGAAUAAGUGCUUGUGUUCAAAAAACAAGUCUACACAAACCGAGCUUUAAUCCCUGAAAGCUUACAAAAUUGUCAAAUGUUGAGGUUACCCUAAAAAUAAAGGGCACGGAACAAAAAACAACAAACAAACAAGCAGAAAACAAAAAAAAAAAUGGAUUUAUUCAACAGACAGACGGCAAAUGGAAUAGAAUUCGUAAGCAAAGGUAACACCUUUCAAGCCCACACUUUGUUGUUUUGCAGCCUUAUGUAAUCCGCCGGCGAAAGGUUUGCAUACGAAAAACGAAAUACAAAAGCAAAAAAUUAGCAGAUAAAAAACAAAAAAGUAAAAUAUGGCAAAUGUAGAAUAGUCGUUGUCGGAAAGGAAAAAUGGGCAAAAGUGCUAACAAUGGUUAAAAAAUAGCGGCAAAAACUGCGAAAUAGUGAAAAACUGAAGGAUUUGAAUUUGAAUUUAAAAUACAUACAUUUUCUUGACAUGGCACACCUGGGUAUGCGUAGUGCAUUCAGCAUUCAACGCCCAUUUAAAUUAGAUGCCGAGGAAAGUGGCAAGAAUUUUUGGCGUUACCGUAAUAUUUUCAAGGAAUUUUUGCUUGUAUUACAAAUGAACUAGAAAUGCUUCCAAAAGGAUUGCUGUAAUUUGAAAUGGAAAGAUUUGGCAGUUUGAUCGGAAUCAUCUCGAAGAUAGUUUAAUAGAAGGAGACGAAGAGGAUAUUUUUUUAAUUUUUGACUUAUUAAACCAUAAGGAUCGAUGGAUAUAGAUCAGAGUAUAGAAUACGAACUGAUGAUGAGUUCACUAGUUGAUCGAAUAGAAACGACUUAAAAAUAUUUAAGUACUCUAUAAUAAAUUGAAUUUAAAAUUUAUAAAAUGGAGAAAUUGUCGGAAGAUGUACGAUAUUGAAAUAUAAUAUUAUCCCAAAGAACCAAUGCGUAAUUUUAAAUAUUUUUUAUUAAAUAAUUGAAAACAUUUGGAUCCUAGAGAUGUGGACUACAAACUUAAAUGCGACAUCCAUGAUACCUAGAAGCCUGGUGAAGGUAAUUGUUUGACGAUCGUACUAAGUAUUAUUUAAAUUAUAUUGAUGAGCGUGUAGUCUAAGGCUCUGACCAAUAACAAUAACACGCCCUGUUAUUGAAUGAAGCUUCAAUCAGAAUAUUGGCGGAGUUAAUCUCUCUGACAGGCUCUUAGAACUUUCUGAAAUAGCCUAAAGUCCUAAAAAACUCAGAACCUUCAAGUUUACAUAAGUUAAUACUUAUAUCCAUAUUAAUAAUAUCAAUGUGACCUCAA